rnacentral:rRNA from 1 species
AUGACUGAUGUUGAGCGUGAGGCUGUCGUGAGUGGUGGAGAUGAUGCUCAUGGUGUUCCAUUGAGUAGUGGGCGCGAUGUUGGUGCCAAAGUUGCUGAUGAGGAUGUUGGUGCUGCUAGCAUACUUGAUGCCAAAUCGUCUCGGAAUGUUGGGAAUGAAAAUCUUUUUGAUUUUGAAGAUUUGCCGCCGGAAAAUUUCCUGCCUGCAGGGCUUGAUUACGGUGAUGCAUUGCAAGAUGCUUCUAGCAUGGAGGAGGAACUACCAUCGUCGUCAAACACUGAUAGUGCAGAAAGUGGAAAUGUUGUUAAGGUUGAUAUGUUUUUCUUCGCUGUUACGAGGUUGCGCACGAACCGUAUGAAAUGUCACAAGCCGAUGUUUCAAAAUAAAGAAUGUGAUGCCAGUGUUUGUUCUAUUGCUAAAGCGUUUGUCCCCACUGGCAUGCUCAACUCAGACAGUGCUGACGUUGUUUUAUAUUCUCUACGUCAGAAGUAUCGAGACACUGACAAGUUGAUAGUUCCCAGAUGGCUUCUCUUCCCUACUUUUGAUCUGACGUCCAUUGCAGCUACCAUGAAGCCUAGCGAAGUAUCUGGGCAUUGGUGCUUGAUUGUUCUGAAUUUGAGGUUCCGUCGUUUUGAGUGUCUUGAUUCACUGCGCGAUGAAACCUGGAGUGAUGCAGUUAGAUUCUUAAGGACUAUGACAGAUAACAUAAAGAAGCUUCGGAGGGAGUCUAGCGUAGACAGGGCGAAACCAUUCUCGCCGGUGCAUAUUGAUGGUUUCUCUUGCGAGUUUGUGCGGGUGCCGCGGCAGAAAAACACCCAGGAAGACAUUCUUGACAUUAGGAAGACUUUUCUGUAUACCUGUGCAACUAGCGAUGUGUUUGAUGUUGACUUUUGUGGUUUGUUUGGCAUCGAACCCUGUGAGUGGCUGGAUCUUAAUGAGCAUGACUACAGGAUCUUUGGCAGCCAAUUCUCGGAAAGGUCUGGUGUUAUUAAGGGGCAGUUGGGAGCUCUGAAAGGUUCUACGGCUGCUUGUGCAGAGAGCCCCUCUACACCCAAGAAUCCCAUUGUGGAAUUGAUAGACAGCGAUGAUGAUGCGUUUGACAAGAUUGAUGGCAUGGGAAGAGUCACCAGGAGCGCUGCUACUGCCAAGGGUUUAUCCCCACUUGCUGGAAUAGUGGCCCGUAGAGCUGGUGGUGCUAGGAAGGAUCCUGCUUUGGAUCUGGCAAUGUUACAAGCACGAAGCGUGCACCCAGAGCUCCCAUAA